rnacentral:rRNA from 1 species
CAGCAGCCACGGUAAUACGUAGGGUGCGAGCGUUAUCCGGAAUUAUUGGGCGUAAAGAGCUCGUAGGCGGUUUGUCGCGUCUGCUGUGAAAACUGGAGGCUCAACCUCCAGCCUGCAGUGGGUACGGGCAGACUAGAGUGCGGUAGGGGAGAUUGGAAUUCCUGGUGUAGCGGUGGAAUGCGCAGAUAUCAGGAGGAACACCGAUGGCGAAGGCAGAUCUCUGGGCCGUAACUGACGCUGAGGAGCGAAAGCAUGGGGAGCGAACAGGAUUAGAUACCCCUGUAGUCCCUGUCUCUUAUAC